rnacentral:rRNA from 1 species
CCUUACCUGGCCUUGACAUACUAAGAACUUUCCAGAGAUGGAUUGGUGCCUUCGGGAACUUAGAUACAGGUGCUGCAUGGCUGUCGUCAGCUCGUGUCGUGAGAUGUUUGGGUUAAGUCCCGCAACGAGCGCAACCCUUUUUCCUUAUUUGCCAGCGGGUUAAGCCGGGAACUUUAAGGAUACUGCCAGUGACAAACUGGAGGAAGGCGGGGACGACGUCAAGUCAUCAUGGCCCUUACGGCCAGGGCUACACACGUGCUACAAUGGUCGGUACAAAGGGUUGCUACCUCGCGAGAGGAUGCUAAUCUCAAAAAGCCGAUCGUAGUCCGGAUCGCAGUCUGCAACUCGACUGCGUGAAGUCGGAAUCGCUAGUAAUCGCGGAUCAGAAUGCCGCGGUGAAUACGUUCCCGGGCCUUGUACACACCGCCCGUCACACCAUGGGAGUUUGUUGCACCAGAAGUAGGUAGUCUAACCGCAAGGAGGACGCUUACCACGGUGUGGCCGAUGACUGGGGUGAAGUCGUAACAAGGUAGGCGUAGAUGA